CUCUUCACCUUUGGAUGGAGAGAAGAUAUUCGACCUGGUGAGCCAAUGCACACGCGGAAAUUCUGCUUCGAUGCCAUCUCCCAUAGCAGCCCAGUCACUCUCUACGAUUGCCAUGGCAUGAAGGGGAACCAGCUCUGGGGAUAUCGGAAGGACAAAACAUUGUUCCAUCCAGUGAGCAACAGCUGUGUGGACUGCAACCCUGCAGAGAGGAAGAUUUUCAUGGCCAGAUGUGACCCUUUAUCCGAGACUCAGCAGUGGGUUUUCGAACACGUUAAUAUGACUGUUUUAGAAAAAUAUAGCUACCACGCCAGCUCCUAGAAGAAAAGAAGGAAGAAAGAGUGAUUACCUACAGAUUGCAAACUUGUUUCUAGCCAGUAACUGGGUCGAAGGAGUCAGGAAUAACAUUUCCUAGAUCCAGGAAGCCUGGCUUAAAGAUCUGUACAUGCCACGUCAAAGUAGGUUGUCCUGAAGAACUUCCUGCAUCUGAAGAACUUGGCUAAGAACCUCACCAGCUGCUUCUGAGAACUCGAGACUAGCAGUUCCCUUGCUGGCCAAGGGCAGAUUAUUUAGGGACUUUUCAAAACUGCUGAGUUAAUAAAUCCUAGCAUUUCUCAGGUCAAAUCCUGCAGUAGUGAGUAGCUAUGAAUGGAUACUAUUAACUGGGUGGGAGGGGGGUGGAAAUAGAGUGCAUGACUGCUCUGACAAGCCAAGGAUACCACAGGUUUAGAACUAGCCACACCGGAGGAGUGAGCUGGACUCCAUGGUGCCAUUCUCUGACUUAAGAAUGGGUUAAGCAGGUUUAACCCUUAAAAGUGCUGCAGAUGAUUUUAGAGUGCUCAUACCAUUCUGUUUCCUUUGUUCUGUUUUUAAACAAGAAUGGGAUAUUUAAGGUAAGACUCAAUUCACAAAGCAAACUGGAUUUCCAUUGCUCCCCUGCUUUUGCUGACAUUUGCCAUUUUCCUUUUAGAGCGGGGGGAAUUCAUUGUUCAUAAAUGUUCAUGCUUCAUAAAUCAACUGAUGUUCUAAUUCAGUGCUCUUGUAAGAACCUAGUUUAAAACAGAAACGAAAUCUAUGCUACCAGGUUACUCCAAAGAAAGAUUUCACAGAAGCCACAAAACCAUUUAAGAUUUAGGAGAGGGAUUUCUCUAGGAAAUCUCUUUUUACUUUUCUAUUAUUUUUAGAAUUUUAAAAUUACAAUGUUUGUCCUGUCAUACUUUUUAUUAAAGAAGGAGAUGGAGUGACGUUGACGUAACUUGUUUAGGAGACUCUUAAACCUGAAUAAAUCUACACUCCACAUGAUGUGUGAGAAUGGCUUGGUUCACUUCAUUUCUGUUUUCAUCAGUGCUGGGAAUUUAGGCAUUGUUUUGUUUGUCUGUGCUUUUGUUAGGUUGAUUUUCUUUACUAUAGUGUUGAUAUUAUUGAUGUUUUAUUUGGAAGCCCAUGAAAAGGAAUUACCACGAAUAAAGUGCUUCUGACGCAAUUUUCUAUUAAUGGAGCAAUAUUUCAGGGUUGAAGAAAGGAAUGAUUUGAAAACUGAAUAGAAUAUUGCACCCUUAAAAGAACUUUGCACUUUUCAAUAGUAAUGGGUUGGAGGAAGAAUACUCAGGCAUCAAAAUGAGUACCUACAGGCAAGAAUCACGCUCACGACACUGUUCUCAAGCUUUUUUUCAGGUAUAAAUAUGUUUUUACUUUGCUUUUUUAAAAAUUGCUUUUCCUAUUAAUACAAUUUUAUAUA